rnacentral:lncRNA from 1 species
UUCCCUUUCAAGAGAUUUGCUAGUGGAAGGUGAGAGCCUCAUCGAAGAGGGGCCUCGUAAGUGGAUGUAGGUCAUUUGACCGAACCACUGUAAAAUCGGCGUAAUCUCUGGUUUGCAUUUACUUAUUGUCAUUUAUAUUAUUGCAAACCAUUUGCACUUUAAUGCUAUACUGCUUUGUCUCCGUCUUACUUAUCUCUUCAAGUUAAA